GGCCCAAGCUGGNUGAGUACAUGAUGGAUCGAAUAUAANCCAUUCUUUGAAAUCAAUUGGAGGGCAAGUCUGGUGCCAGCAGCCGCGGUAACUCCAGCUCCAAUAGUGUAUCUNNAUGUUGUUGCAGUUAAAAAGCUCGUAGUUGAAUUUCUGGGGGGGUGUUUCAAGGUACGUCCUGAUUCUGCCCCCUCAUCCGCUUUGGAACCAGGAGGGGUAUUNAGUUAUCGGCCUGGGGAAGGGGCAUUUUACUUUGAAGAAAUUAGAGUGUUCCAGGCAGGCUUUGCUUGAAUACAUCAGCAUGGAAUAAUGGAAUAGGACAAUGUUCAUUUUAUUGGCUAUUGAACUUGUAAUGAUUAACAGGGACAGUUGGGGGCAUUCGUAUUCAUUUGUCAGAGGUGGAAUUCUUGGAUUAACUGAAGACGAACUAAUGCGAAAGCAUUUGCCAAGGAUGUUUUCAUUAAUCAAGAACGAAAGUUAGGGGAUCAAAGACGAUCAGAUACCGUC
rnacentral:rRNA from 1 species